GGACCGUGGGCGGCGUGCUUACACAUGCAGUCGAGCGGUAAGGCCCUUCGGGGUACACGAGCGGCGAACGGGUGAGUAACACGUGGGUGAUCUGCCUCGUACUCUGGGAUAAGCCUGGGAAACUGGGUCUAAUACCGGAUAUGACCACGAAUCGGCACUUGGUUUGUGGUGGAAAGAUUAAUCGGUGCGAGAUGGGCCCGCGGCCAAUCAGCUUGUUGGUGGGGUAAUGGCCUACCAAGGCGACGACGGGUAGCCGGCCUGAGGAGGGCGACCGGCCACACCGGGACUGAGACACGGCCCAGACUCCUACGGGAGGCAGCAGUGGGGAAUAUUGCACAAUGGGCGGAAGCCUGAUGCAGCGACGCCGCGUGAGGGAUGACGGCCUUCGGGUUGUAAACCUCUUUCGACAGGGACGAAGCGCAAGUGACGGUACCUGUAGAAGAAGCACCGGCCAACUACGUGCCAGCAGCCGCGGUAAUACGUAGGGUGCGAGCGUUGUCCGGGAAUUACUGGGCGUAAAGAGCUUGUAGGCGGUUCGUCGCGUCGAUCGUGAAAACUUGCAGCUCAACUGCGAGCUUGCGGUCGAUACGGGCGGACUAGAGUACUGCAGGGGAGACUGGAAUUCCUGGUGUAGCGGUGAAAUGCGCAGAUAUCAGGAGGAACACCGGUGGCGAAGGCGGGUCUCUGGGCAGUAACUGACGCUGAGAAGCGAAAGCGUGGGUAGCGAACAGGAUUAGAUACCCUGGUAGUCCACGCCGUAAACGGUGGGCGCUAGGUGUGGGUUUCCUUCCACGGGAUCCGUGCCGUAGCUAACGCAUUAAGCGCCCCGCCUGGGGAGUACGGCCGCAAGGCUAAAACUCAAAGGAAUUGACGGGGGCCCGCACAAGCGGCGGAGCAUGUGGAUUAAUUCGAUGCAACGCGAAGAACCUUACCUGGGUUUGACAUACACCAGAAAGCUGCAGAGAUGUAGCCCCCCUUGUGGUUGGUGUACAGGUGGUGCAUGGCUGUCGUCAGCUCGUGUCGUGAGAUGUUGGGUUAAGUCCCGCAACGAGCGCAACCCUUGUCCUGUGUUGCCAGCGCGUUAUGGCGGGGACUCGCAGGAGACUGCCGGGGUCAACUCGGAGGAAGGUGGGGACGACGUCAAGUCAUCAUGCCCCUUAUGUCCAGGGCUUCACACAUGCUACAAUGGCCGGUACAGAGGGCUGCAAUACCGGGUGAGGUGGAGCGAAUCCCUUAAAGCCGAUCUCAGUUCGGAAUCGGGGUCUGUCAACUCGAACCCCGUGAAAUUGGAGUCGCUAGUAAUCGCAGAUCAGCAACGCUGCGGUGAAUACGUUCCCGGGCCUUGUACACACCGCCCGUCACGUCAUGAAAGUCGGUAACACCCGAAGCCGGUGGCCUAACCCUUGUGGAGGGAGCCGUCGAAAGGUGGAUAG
rnacentral:rRNA from 1 species